rnacentral:sRNA from 1 species
GCCUACGAGUUCAUUUGUAACAAUAUGAAAGAAGAACCUUGCGUGCCCGAUCAUGAUAU